AUUGAACGCUGGCGGCAGGCCUAACACAUGCAAGUCGAGCGGUAGAGAGGUGCUUGCACCUCUUGAGAGCGGCGGACGGGUGAGUAAUGCCUAGGAAUCUACCUGGUAGUGGGGGAUAACGCUCGGAAACGGACGCUAAUACCGCAUACGUCCUACGGGAGAAAGCAGGGGACCUUCGGGCCUUGCGCUAUCAGAUGAGC
rnacentral:rRNA from 1 species